UUUAUUAAUCUGUGUGUUGGUAGUCAUGCAAUGUAUUACUAGCUCGUAUUAAAUUAUGCAGAUGAAUAUUUGUUCUCCGUAUGAAGAGUUCUUCUGAAAAAUCUUUAUACUAUCAAACAACUAACGUUAUCAGUGCGUGGUUUUCUUCUGAACUUGUUGGCAGAUAAAGGGCGACGAUUUUGCGGUCAUCGGUUCAUCAUGCUGCCAC
rnacentral:lncRNA from 1 species